rnacentral:rRNA from 1 species
CUACGAAGGGGGCUAGCGUUGUUCGGAAUUACUGGGCGUAAAGCGCGCGUAGGCGGCUUGUUAAGUCGGAUGUGAAAGCCCUGGGCUCAACCUGGGAAUUGCAUUCGAUACUGCAGAGCUAGAGUAUGGUAGAGGGAAGUGGAAUUUCCGGUGUAGCGGUGAAAUGCGUAGAUAUCGGAAGGAACACCAGUGGCGAAGGCGGCUACCUGGACCGAUACUGACGCUGAUGCGCGAAAGCGCGGGGAGCAAACAGGAUUAGAAACCCCGGUAGUCC